ACGUAGGGAGCGAGCGUUGUCCGGAAUUACUGGGUGUAAAGGGAGCGUAGGCGGGACGGCAAGUCAGAUGUGAAAACUAUGGGCUCAACCCAUAGACUGCAUUUGAAACUGUUGUUCUUGAGUGAGGUAGAGGUAAGCGGAAUUCCUGGUGUAGCGGUGAAAUGCGUAGAGAUCAGGAGGAACAUCGGUGGCGAAGGCGGCUUACUGGGCCUUUACUGACGCUGAGGCUCGAAAGCGUGGGGAGCAAACAGGAUUAGAUACCCUGGUAGUCCACGCCGUAAACGAUGAUUACUAGGUGUGGGGGGACUGACCCCUUCCGUGCCGCAGUUAACACAAUAAGUAAUCCACCUGGGGAGUACGGCCGCAAGGUUG
rnacentral:rRNA from 1 species